GAGUCGUUAUGACUUCAUACUUUCAUUUGUACAAAAGAAAUACUCCUCUUUAGGUGAUUUUUUUUUCCUAAUUUAGGACGCGAAAUAAAAAAAAAUUAAGGACGCGAUAUACGAGGAAAGAAAUUAACCUGUGAUAGGCCCACAUGGGGAGAAGUUGAUACGUGCCCGGAAUUAACAUAAGCUAUUAAAUAGGGUUGAUAAAAUGGGAAGCGUCCAAGCCUUAUUCAGACGGAACAGAGUACUUGGGCUGAAAAAACGCCUCCGCUGACGCAAAAAGGGGUAACAGCUACAGGUCGAGAUCCGGCGAGUUUCGUCGGAUUUCGUCCCUAACAAACUGCAUCUCCGGCAUACGUCUGUUUGAUUAUUUCCUUUUUUUUGUUGUUUCCGACGAAGAAAUGAAGGGCUCCUGCACUCUCGUUGCUUCCAUGCUUGCCGCUUCCACCGUGGCUAUUAGCUCCACUUCCUAUUCCUCCUCCUCCUCUGAUCCUGAUGUCAACUGUCACUCGGCUUCUACCGAGGGACUUGGUUAUUCUUCAUCGACGGAGAAGCGCAGAUCUGACAACUCAAGGAAACAGCCAUUGAGAUCAGAGGAGGAGAAAUUCACUCCUAGAUUUGACGGCCUGAGAUUUAUCGAGACUCUAAUUACGGCUCACAGGUGAAAUCUAUGUAAUAGCAGGGUGGCUUAAUAGGAUUUGAGGAACCGAAGUAGCAUUAGCCCCAUUUGUUUAUCGAUUGAAUUGGUCAUGAACAUGCCUUCUUUAAUAUGUCCAAUGUGAUUGAUUGACUUGUUUUAGUGUUCUCUUAACACUUAUUUUGGAAACUGCAUCUCUAAUCAAUCUUUGGAAAUGCUUGGGGGAUCAUCCUUCGUUAUUUUA